GAUGAACGCUGGCGGCGUGCCUCAUACAUGCCAGUCGAGCGAACAGACGAGGAGCUUGCUCCACUGACGUUAGCGGCGGACGGGUGAGUAACACGUGGAGAACCUACCUAUAGGACUGGGAUAACUUCGGGAAACCGUAACUAAUACCGGAUAAUAUAUUUAACCGCAUGGUCCAAUAGUGAAAGACGGUUUUGCUGUCACUUAUAGAUGGAUCCGCGCCGCAUUAGCUAGUUGGUAAGGUAACGGCUUACCAGGGCAACGAUGCGUAGCCGACCUGAGAGGGUGAUCGGCCACACUGGAACUGAGACACGGUCCAGACUCCUACGGGAGGCAGCAGUAGGGAAUCUUCCGCAAUGGGCGAAAGCCUGACGGAGCAACGCCGCGUGAGUGAUGAAGGUCUUCGGAUCGUAAAACUCUGUUAUUAGGGAAGAACAAAUGUGUAAGUAACUAUGCACGUCUUGACGGUACCUAAUCAGAAAGCCACGGCUAACUACGUG
rnacentral:rRNA from 1 species